UUAAGCGACUAAGCGUACACGGUGGAUGCCCUGGCAGUCAGAGGCGAUGAAGGACGUGCUAAUCUGCGAUAAGCGUCGGUAAGGUGAUAUGAACCGUUAUAACCGGCGAUUUCCGAAUGGGGAAACCCAGUGUGUUUCGACACACUAUCAUUAACUGAAUCCAUAGGUUAAUGAGGCGAACCGGGGGAACUGAAACAUCUAAGUACCCCGAGGAAAAGAAAUCAACCGAGAUUCCCCCAGUAGCGGCGAGCGAACGGGGAGGAGCCCAGAGCCUGAAUCAGUGUGUGUGUUAGUGGAAGCGUCUGGAAAGGCGCGCGAUACAGGGUGACAGCCCCGUACACAAAAAUGCACAUGCUGUGAGCUCGAUGAGUAGGGCGGGACACGUGGUAUCCUGUCUGAAUAUGGGGGGACCAUCCUCCAAGGCUAAAUACUCCUGACUGACCGAUAGUGAACCAGUACCGUGAGGGAAAGGCGAAAAGAACCCCGGCGAGGGGAGUGAAAAAGAACCUGAAACCGUGUACGUACAAGCAGUGGGAGCCUCUUUUAUGGGGUGACUGCGUACCUUUUGUAUAAUGGGUCAGCGACUUAUAUUCUGUAGCAAGGUUAACCGAAUAGGGGAGCCGAAGGGAAACCGAGUCUUAACUGGGCGUUAAGUUGCAGGGUAUAGACCCGAAACCCGGUGAUCUAGCCAUGGGCAGGUUGAAGGUUGGGUAACACUAACUGGAGGACCGAACCGACUAAUGUUGAAAAAUUAGCGGAUGACUUGUGGCUGGGGGUGAAAGGCCAAUCAAACCGGGAGAUAGCUGGUUCUCCCCGAAAGCUAUUUAGGUAGCGCCUCGUGAAUUCAUCUCCGGGGGUAGAGCACUGUUUCGGCAAGGGGGUCAUCCCGACUUACCAACCCGAUGCAAACUGCGAAUACCGGAGAAUGUUAUCACGGGAGACACACGGCGGGUGCUAACGUCCGUCGUGAAGAGGGAAACAACCCAGACCGCCAGCUAAGGUCCCAAAGUCAUGGUUAAGUGGGAAACGAUGUGGGAAGGCCCAGACAGCCAGGAUGUUGGCUUAGAAGCAGCCAUCAUUUAAAGAAAGCGUAAUAGCUCACUGGUCGAGUCGGCCUGCGCGGAAGAUGUAACGGGGCUAAACCAUGCACCGAAGCUGCGGCAGCGACGCUUAUGCGUUGUUGGGUAGGGGAGCGUUCUGUAAGCCUGUGAAGGUGUGCUGUGAGGCAUGCUGGAGGUAUCAGAAGUGCGAAUGCUGACAUAAGUAACGAUAAAGCGGGUGAAAAGCCCGCUCGCCGGAAGACCAAGGGUUCCUGUCCAACGUUAAUCGGGGCAGGGUGAGUCGACCCCUAAGGCGAGGCCGAAAGGCGUAGUCGAUGGGAAACAGGUUAAUAUUCCUGUACUUGGUGUUACUGCGAAGGGGGGACGGAGAAGGCUAUGUUGGCCGGGCGACGGUUGUCCCGGUUUAAGCGUGUAGGCUGGUUUUCCAGGCAAAUCCGGAAAAUCAAGGCUGAGGCGUGAUGACGAGGCACUACGGUGCUGAAGCAACAAAUGCCCUGCUUCCAGGAAAAGCCUCUAAGCAUCAGGUAACAUCAAAUCGUACCCCAAACCGACACAGGUGGUCAGGUAGAGAAUACCAAGGCGCUUGAGAGAACUCGGGUGAAGGAACUAGGCAAAAUGGUGCCGUAACUUCGGGAGAAGGCACGCUGAUAUGUAGGUGAAGUCCCUCGCGGAUGGAGCUGAAAUCAGUCGAAGAUACCAGCUGGCUGCAACUGUUUAUUAAAAACACAGCACUGUGCAAACACGAAAGUGGACGUAUACGGUGUGACGCCUGCCCGGUGCCGGAAGGUUAAUUGAUGGGGUCAGCGCAAGCGAAGCUCUUGAUCGAAGCCCCGGUAAACGGCGGCCGUAACUAUAACGGUCCUAAGGUAGCGAAAUUCCUUGUCGGGUAAGUUCCGACCUGCACGAAUGGCGUAAUGAUGGCCAGGCUGUCUCCACCCGAGACUCAGUGAAAUUGAACUCGCUGUGAAGAUGCAGUGUACCCGCGGCAAGACGGAAAGACCCCGUGAACCUUUACUAUAGCUUGACACUGAACAUUGAGCCUUGAUGUGUAGGAUAGGUGGGAGGCUUUGAAGUGUGGACGCCAGUCUGCAUGGAGCCGACCUUGAAAUACCACCCUUUAAUGUUUGAUGUUCUAACGUUGACCCGUAAUCCGGGUUGCGGACAGUGUCUGGUGGGUAGUUUGACUGGGGCGGUCUCCUCCUAAAGAGUAACGGAGGAGCACGAAGGUUGGCUAAUCCUGGUCGGACAUCAGGAGGUUAGUGCAAUGGCAUAAGCCAGCUUGACUGCGAGCGUGACGGCGCGAGCAGGUGCGAAAGCAGGUCAUAGUGAUCCGGUGGUUCUGAAUGGAAGGGCCAUCGCUCAACGGAUAAAAGGUACUCCGGGGAUAACAGGCUGAUACCGCCCAAGAGUUCAUAUCGACGGCGGUGUUUGGCACCUCGAUGUCGGCUCAUCACAUCCUGGGGCUGAAGUAGGUCCCAAGGGUAUGGCUGUUCGCCAUUUAAAGUGGUACGCGAGCUGGGUUUAGAACGUCGUGAGACAGUUCGGUCCCUAUCUGCCGUGGGCGCUGGAGAACUGAGGGGGGCUGCUCCUAGUACGAGAGGACCGGAGUGGACGCAUCACUGGUGUUCGGGUUGUCAUGCCAAUGGCACUGCCCGGUAGCUAAAUGCGGAAGAGAUAAGUGCUGAAAGCAUCUAAGCACGAAACUUGCCCCGAGAUGAGUUCUCCCUGACCCUUUAAGGGUCCUGAAGGAACGUUGAAGACGACGACGUUGAUAGGCCGGGUGUGUAAGCGCAGCGAUGCGUUGAGCUAACCGGUACUAAUGAACCGUGAGGCUUAACCUU
rnacentral:rRNA from 1 species